rnacentral:rRNA from 1 species
GGGAUAAUUUAUCUCUGUGUUGUAGCUAACGCGUUAAGCACUCCGCCUGGGGACUACGGUCGCAAGACUAAAACUCAAAGGAAUUGACGGGGACCCGCACAAGCGGUGGAGCAUGUGGUUUAAUUCGAUGCAACGCGAAAAACCUUACCACUCCUUGACAUGGAGAUUAGAUCCUUCUUAACGGAAGGGCGCAGUUCGGCUGGAUCUCGCACAGGUGCUGCAUGGCUGUCGUCAGCUCGUGUCGUGAGAUGUUGGGUUAAGUCCCGCAACGAGCGUAACCCUCAUCCUUAGUUGCCAGCGGGUUAAGCCGGGCACUUUAAGGAAACUGCCAGUGGUAAACUGGAGGAAGGUGGGGAUGAUGUCAAGUCAGCACGGCCCUUAUGGGGUGGGCUACACACGUGCUACAAUGGUGACUACAAUAGGUUGCAAUGUCGCAAGGCUGAGCUAAUCCGUAAAAGUCAUCUCAGUUCGGAUUGUCCUCUGCAACUCGAGGGCAUGAAGUCGGAAUCGCUAGUAAUCGUGGAUCAGCAUGCCACGGUGAAUACGUUCUCGGGUCUUGUACACUACUGCCCGUCACGCCA